GUAGGGGGCAAGCGUUGUCCGGAAUCAUUGGGCGUAAAGAGCGUGUAGGCGGUCCGGUAAGUCGGUUGUGAAAGUCGGGGGCUCAACCCUCGGAGGCCGACCGAUACUGUCGGGCUAGAGUCCGGAAGAGGCGAGUGGAAUUCCUGGUGUAGCGGUGAAAUGCGCAGAUAUCAGGAGGAACACCAAUGGCGAAGGCAGCUCGCUGGGACGGUACUGACGCUGAGACGCGAAAGCGUGGGGAGCAAACAGGAUUAGAUACCCUGGUAGUCCACGCCGUAAACGAUGGACACUAGGUGUGGGAGGUGUCGACUCCUCCCGUGCCGUAGCUAACGCAUUAAGUGUCCCGCCUGGGGAGUACGGCCGCAAGGCUAAA
rnacentral:rRNA from 1 species